UACGUAGGGCGCAAGCGUUGUCCGGAAUUAUUGGGCGUAAAGAGCUCGUAGGCGGUUUGUCGCGUCUGCUGUGAAAACCUAAGGCUCAACCUUGGGCUUGCAGUGGGUACGGGCAGACUAGAGUGCGGUAGGGGUGACUGGAAUUCCUGGUGUAGCGGUGGAAUGCGCAGAUAUCAGGAGGAACACCGAUGGCGAAGGCAGGUCACUGGGCCGCAACUGACGCUGAGGAGCGAAAGCAUGGGGAGCGA
rnacentral:rRNA from 1 species